GAUGAAGGUCCUGGCAAGCUGGGAUAAGCCCGGGGUAGCCGCAUGCAGGCUUUGAACCCGGGAUCACCUAAUGGGACAUCCUAGUCUCAGGACUAUUUGCGCGCGGGAUGACUUCGUGUUGUCUGCGCGUGCAAAGAGAUACGCGGGAAAUUGAAACAUCUUAGUACCCGCAGGAAAAGAAAGAAACAUAGGCUGAUGUGGAUUCGUCUGCGUCAGUCUGCUUCGAUGCCGUUAGUAGGGGCGACCGAAAGCGGCACAGAACAAACCGAACCCUCCUGGAAACAGAGAGGGAAUGUGGCGUUAUGGGACUUGCGCUUCUCUUAGCUGGUCGAUCUGAAGUCUUCUGGAAAGAAGCGCUAUAGAGGGUGACAGCCCCGUAAGAGAAGACCAGAAAGAGAAUAGCAAGUAUCCCGAGUAUGAUUGGUUGGAUUUCCAGUCAGAAUUCGGGAGUCAUCCACUCCCAAUUCUAAAUAUUGGUCCAAGUCCGAUAGCGGAUUAGUACCGUGAGGGAAAACUGAAAAGUAUCCGUAAAAGGAGAUGAAAAGAGCCUGAACUCAGAUAGCUAUAGAUAGACGGGUAAGGCCUUUGUUAUGCAAAGGCUAAACCGUCGUCCGUUUCGAAAAACGGGGCAGGGAGUGCAUCUCUGUGGCGAGGCGAAAGCCUAAGCGAAAGCGAUCGUCCGCAGGCAACAACGGACAGCGUAUGAAAGUGCGUUUAGUCACAGGGAUGCGACCAGAAGCCGGGUGAUCUUAUCCUGGGCAGAGUGAAGUCUUGGGAAACCAAGAUGGAAGCUCGCUAGUGUUGCUGGUACAAACCGCUCACGUGACCUGGGAUAAGGGGUGAAAAGCCAAUCGAACCCGGCAAUAGCUGGUUCCUUCCGAAAUGUAUCUCAGUACAGCCUGGUUCUAACAGCUUGUGAGGUAGAGUUACUGAUUAGGUAGUCAAGGGGAGAGAUCCCCAGCUACCUUGUCAAACUCCGAAUGCACAAGCAUAAGGAACCAGAGUGAGGGUGCCGGAGUAAGUUUGGCAUCCGAAAGGGGAACAACCCAGCCUGAAGUUAAGGUCCCUAAAUACUGGCUAAGUGUCGAAGGUGGUCUUACCUCUAAAACAGUGGGGAGGUUGGCUUAGAAGCAGCCAUCCUUUAAACAACGCGUAAUAGCGGACCCACCGAGAGGUAGGGCGCUGAAGAUGGACGGGGCUAAGCCAGUUACCGAUACUUCAGAACCUUGGCUUGGUCAAGGUUGGUAGGAAGGCGCACCGCGGGGGCAGAAGUGCUAUCGUGAGAUGGCAUGGACCCUGUGGUGAUGAGAAUCCUGUCGGGAGUAGCAUACGAGUCAGGUGAAAAUCCUGACCACCUGAAGGACUAGGGUUUCCCAGUAAAGCUUAUCUACUGGGAGUUAGUCGGUCCUAAGGGCUAUCUUAACCGAGAAGCCCGAAAGGGAAACCGGUUAAUAUUCCGGUACUGCUCAUACAACGUUUGUAUCUUGUUUCGGACGUUUUGGGAUAGGCUGAGCACAACCGUCGUUGUGUCUAACUGUAUAAUUCCGGGGAGUGUUGUAAUGACGAGAACCGGAAGAAAGCAGGAAUGGUCUGUCGUAUGACGGAUUCAGCCAAUUCCUAGAACUCGUAAAAACGAAACAAGAGAGAAGUAUGAGCAACCGUACCUAGAACCGACACAGGUGCUCCUCGCCGAAAAGGCGAAGGUGUUCGGGAUAAUCCAUCUUAGGGAAUUCGGCAAAUUAGCCCUGUAUCUUUGGUAGAAGGGGUGCCUGGUCAGCAGUGAUCAGGUCGCAGUGACUAGGGGGACCCGACUGUUUACCAAAAACAUAGCUGACUGCUAAACCGAAAGGUCUUGUAUAGUCAGUGAGUCGUGGCCACUGGCGGUGUGUGAAACCCGGUUUCAACCGGGCUAAGCCCCGUUGUAGGCCGGCCCUAACUCUGAGGGUCUUAAGGUAGCGUAAUCCCUUGCCAAUUAAAUGUUGGCCUGCAUGAUAGAUCAACGAGGUCCCCGCUGUCCCAAGAUGGAACCCGGCGAAACCACCUUUCUGGUGAUUAGGCCAGAGACCUUCAAUGGGAAGAGUAGACCCCAUGGAGCUUUACUGCAGUCUAUUGUUGUUGUAUGGUUGUGAUUGUAUAGCGUAGGUAGGAGACAUAGAAGCUAAGUCGUCAGACUUUGUGGAGUCACCAAUGUAACACUACCCUUUCACGACUAUACGACUAACCGAAGCAAUUCGGGACACCAAUAGGUGGGCAGUUUGACUGGGGCGGUACACCUCUGAAAAAAUAUCAGAGGUGCUCAAAGGUCGGCUCAUCAGGGUCAGAAAUCCUGAUAAGAGUGUAAGGGCAAAAGCCGGCUUGACUGGAUUCUGAAAAGCAAGGAAUCCAGAGGCGAAAGCCUGACCUAGCGAUACGCAUGUUGUCCUGGAUGGACGCAUGUGACGUCAGAAAAGCUACCCUGGGGAUAAUGGUGUCGUGGCGGGUGAGAGUUCAUAUCGACCCCGCGCGUUGCGGCGUCGCUGUCGGCUCGCCCUCUCCUGGCUGUGCAGCAGCAGCCAAGGGUACCGGAGUUCACGGAUCAAAAGGGCACGUUAGCUGGGUUCAGAACGGCGUGAGCCAGUUUGGUCUAUAUCUGUUGAAGGUGUUUCUGCCUGAGAGCAAGGAAGAAUAAGUACGAAAGGAACAUUCUUCCGGAGCCUCUGGUCUACCAGUUGUCUGACAAGGCAAUGCUGGGUAGCUACGCUCCAGCGGAUAAGGGCUGAAAGCAUCUAAGCCCCAAGCCGCACUCAAAAAUAGGCAGUUGGCACCGGUAGACGACCGGUUUGAUAGGGCAGGGGUGUACGAUACAAGCAGCAAUGCG
rnacentral:rRNA from 1 species